rnacentral:rRNA from 1 species
UACGGAGGGUGCAAGCGUUAUCCGGAAUCACUGGGCGUAAAGGGCGCGUAGGUGGUCUGUUAAGUCUGGCGUUAAAGCCUGGGGCUCAACCCCAGAUCAGCGUUGGAUACUGGCAGGCUAGACGGUUGGAGAGGCGAGUGGAAUUACCAGUGUAGCGGUGGAAUGCGUAGAUACUGGUAGGAACACCCAUUGCGAAGGCAGCUCGCUGGACAACACGUGACACUGAGGCGCGAAAGUGUGGGGAGCAAACCGGAUUAGAUACCCU